rnacentral:misc_RNA from 1 species
AUUAUGGUGAACUUCAGAAACAAAUGAAUAGCACCCACCAGGAUUAGUUAAAAAUUAGCUCUAACCUUGUAUCUCAGGAUUAACAAAAACAGGUAAAUCUCUCUGUAAUAUGUCCCCCAACAUCCAAAUUUAUGUUACUUGCAAAUUUGCAAUCAUUAACAGACAUCAUCCCCUAUAAUAAAUCUUACUAACCAAGGCAGUCAAUG